rnacentral:rRNA from 1 species
AGCAGCCGCGGUAAUUCCAGCUCCAAUAGCGUAUAUUAAAGUUGUUGCAGUUAAAAAGCUCGUAGUUGAAUUUCGGGAUUGGCGCAUCGGUCGUGCCUCACGGGGUAUGAACUGGUGCAGUCAAUUUCUCACCUCCUGGAGAACCGCGAUGUCCUUAAUUGGAUGCCGCGGGGAACCAGGACCUUUACUUUGAAAAAAUUAGAGUGUUUAAAGCAGGCAUUUUUGCUUGAAUACAUUAGCAUGGAAUAAUAAAAUAGGACGGCAUGGUUCUAUUUUGUUGGUUUCUAGGACCACCGUAAUGAUUAAUAGGGAUAGUUGGGGGCAUUAGUAUUCAAUUGUCAGAGGUGAAAUUCUUGGAUUUAUUGAAGACUAACUACUGCGAAAGCAUUUGCCAAGGAUGUUUUCAUUAAUCAAGAACGAAAGUUAGGGGAUCGAAGACGAUCAGAUACCGUCGUAGUCUUAACCAUAAACUAUGCCGACUAGGAAUCAGACGAUGUUAAUUUUUUAAUGACUCGUUUGG